CACUGCGCAGACCUGCAUUGCCUGCAAAGUGCUACAGCAGGGGGAAAAGGGGGGGAUUAUUUCUAGAAUUUCCCAGAACUUUCCCUAUUUUUUAACCUUUACAUCCUCUUUGGCUUUAUUUUCUCAAGAAGAAAAUGCAUUAUUCAUGGAGCUGUAUGUUUGAAUCAGAGAACACUGUUUUGAUAGUCCCAGCAAUUCUGAUGUUAUUUUAAACUGCUGCUAUAUGGAGAUUUAGAAUUGGAGUUGUUUUUGCUUAUAUGAAGACAUAGAAUUGGAAUCAUGAUCUGGGGAUUGCAGAUCUGUCUUCAGGGACUUCAAAACUGGAUUUUGUGUGCAUGCAUUGGUGUGUGUUAUGCAAUGGGGAGGAAGAGGGUUUUAUCCUUUGGUUCAGAGAGGACCCAGGCAAAGACAUGAAAAGUCUUAACUAUCUAUAUGUCUGUAUGUCUGUCUCUGUUUACAGAACAGUGGAAGAGACUGCAGCCUAAAGACUUUUAAAAUUAACUUGGCAUCACUUUUCUCAGCUCAAAGGCUAAGCAAAAAAGCAGUGUCAUUUAUUCUAAGAAAUAACUUCUUAAAGGUUAAAGCUGAAAAAGAUUCAAGUUACUUUUGGAUAACAACUUACAGAGGCCAAAUGACAUAGGAUGAAGGCUGUUCGUAACCUGCUGAUUUAUAUAUUUUCCACCUAUCUCCUGGUUAUGUUUGGAUUUAAUGCUGCCCAAGACUUCUGGUGUUCAACUUUGGUGAAGGGAGUCAUUUAUGGAUCGUAUUCUGUAAGUGAAAUGUUUCCCAAAAACUUUACAAACUGCACUUGGACGCUGGAAAAUCCAGAUCCAACCAAAUAUAGCAUUUACCUGAAAUUUUCCAAAAAGGACCUUAGCUGCUCUAACUUUUCCCUCCUGGCUUAUCAGUUUGAUCAUUUUUCCCAUGAAAAAAUCAAGGAUCUUUUAAGAAAGAAUCAUUCUAUAAUGCAACUCUGCGAAUCCAAGAAUGCUUUCGUUUUUCUACAGUAUGACAAAAAUUUUAUUCAAAUACGUCGGGUCUUUCCAACCGAUUUCCCAGGAUUACAGAAAAAAGGGGAAGAAGAUCAGAAAUCUUUUUUUGAAUUUUUGGUGUUGAACAAGGUGAGCCCGAGCCAGUUUGGUUGUCAUGUGUUAUGCACUUGGUUGGAGAGCUGCUUAAAGUCAGAAAAUGGGAGAACGGAGUCCUGCGGGAUCAUGUAUACAAAGUGCACCUGCCCUCAGCACUUGGGAGAGUGGGGGCUCGACGACCAGGCGCUGGUUUUGUUAAAUAACGUGGUGUUGCCCCUGAAUGAGCAGACUGAGGGCUGCCUGACCCAAGAGCUGCAAACCACCCAGGUCUGCAAUCUUACCAGGGAGGCCAAGCGACCGCCCAAAGAAGUUAUAGGCUGUGUAAAAACACGGAAGCCUGGCAUGCUGCAGUCCAUGGGGUAGCAAAAAGCUGGACACGAUUUGGUGACUGAACAACAACAAAUGUAUAUGAUAGAGAAGAAAACAGGUA
rnacentral:lncRNA from 1 species